UACGGAGGGUGCAAGCGUUAUCCGGAUUCACUGGGUUUAAAGGGUGUGUAGGCGGAUAUUUAAGUCCGAGGUGAAAUCUCUGAGCUCAACUCAGAAACUGCCUUGGAUACUAUUUAUCUUGAAUAUCGUUGAGGUAGGCGGAAUAUGUCAUGUAGCGGUGAAAUGCUUAGAUAUGACAUAGAACACCGAUUGCGAAGGCAGCUUGCUAAACGAUUAUUGACGCUGAGACGCGAAAGCGUGGGGAGCGAACGGG
rnacentral:rRNA from 1 species